GUAGGGGGCAAGCGUUGUCCGGAAUUAUUGGGCGUAAAGCGCGCGCAGGCGGUCUCUUAAGUCUGAUGUGAAAGCCCACGGCUCAACCGUGGAGGGUCAUUGGAAACUGGGAGACUUGAGUGUAGGAGAGGAAAGUGGAAUUCCACGUGUAGCGGUGAAAUGCGUAGAUAUGUGGAGGAACACCAGUGGCGAAGGCGACUUUCUGGCCUACAACUGACGCUGAGGCGCGAAAGCGUGGGGAGCAAACAGGGAUUAGAUACCCUGGUAGUCCACGCUGUAAACGAUGAGUGCUAGGUGUUAGGGGUUUCGAUGCCCUUAGUGCCGAAGUUAACACAUUAAGCACUCCGCCUGGGAGUACGGCCGCAAGGCUG
rnacentral:rRNA from 1 species